UAGGGAGACCUAAUCCAUUUAGAAAUUUCCAGCAAUUUUCAUUGCUAGAAACUAAAUUGGUCUAACCUAGGUCGGUCGAGAUUGGUAGAUAUCUUUCAAAGUAUUAUUCGGCUUAGUUCAAAAAUUGAAGCAUCAUAAAUGGAAAAAAGACAGCAACUGAAACUAUGAGAAUAGUUUUUGACUGCUGGGUGAAAUUCCAGCCAGAACCUUGAAAACCGCAUAAGAGAACGAGAAAAAGCAGGCAGACACAGACAUGAAGAUGGAUGUGAAAGCAAAGAAAAAUUGU
rnacentral:misc_RNA from 1 species